rnacentral:rRNA from 1 species
CGCGCAGGCGGCCUUUUAAGUUGGAUGUGAAAGCCUACGGCUCAACCGUAGAACUGCAUCCAAAACUAUCAGGCUAGAGUGUGGGAGAGGAAGAUGGAAUUAGUUGUGUAGGGGUAAAGUCCGUAGAGAUAACUAGGAAUACCAAAAGCGAAGGCAAUCUUCUGGAACAUUACUGACGCUGAGGCGCGAAAGCGUGGGGAGCAAACAGGAUUAGAUACCCUGGUAGUCC